AACGAACGCUGGCGGCAUGCCUAACACAUGCAAGUCGAACGAGACCUUCGGGUCUAGUGGCGCACGGGUGCGUAACGCGUGGGAACCUGCCCUUAGGUUCGGAAUAACUCCCCGAAAGGGGUGCUAAUACCGGAUAAUGUCUUCGGACCAAAGAUUUAUCGCCUUUGGAUGGGCCCGAGUUGGAUUAGCUAGUUGGUAGGGUAAAAGCCUACCAAGGCGACGAUCCGUAGCUGGUCUGGGAGGAUGAUCAGCCACACUGGGACUGGGACACGGCCCAGACUCCUACGGGAGGCAGCAGUGGGGAAUAUUGGACAAUGGGGGAAAGCCUGAUGCAGCAAUGCCGCGUGAGUGAUGAAGGCCUUAGGGUAGUAAAGCGCUUUUACCCGGGAUGAUAAUGACAGUACCGGGAGAAUAAGCUCCGGCUAACUCCGUG
rnacentral:rRNA from 1 species